rnacentral:rRNA from 1 species
GAUGAACGCUGGCGGCGUGCCUAAUACAUGCAAGUCGAGCGAACAGAUGAGGAGCUUGCUCCUCUGACGUUAGCGGCGGACGGGUGAGUAACACGUGGAUAACCUACCUAUAAGUCUGGGAUAACUUCGGGAAACCGGAGCUAAUACCGGAUAAUAUAUUGCACCGCAUGGUUCAAUAGUGAAAGACGGUUUUGCUGUCACUUAUAGAUGGAUCCGCGCCGCAUUAGCUAGUUGGUAAGGUAACGGCUUACCAAGGCAACGAUGCGUAGCCGACCGGAGAGGGUGGUCGGCCACACUGGAACUGAGACGCGGUCCAGACUACUACGGGAGGCAGCAGUAGGGAAUCUUACGCAAUGGGCGGAAGCCUGACGGAGCAACGCCGCGUGAGUGAUGAAGGUCUUCGGAUCGUAAAACUCUGUUAUUAGGGAAGAACAAAUGUGUAAGUAACUAUGCACGUCUUGACGGUACCUAAUCAGAAAGCCACGGCUAACUACGUG